GGGUUCACCCAUUGGUCAGGCUUAAUUGUCUGUACUGGUGAGAUGAGUCUCUACCUUCUGAGGAACUUUCAUGCCAUUUAUUUGGUGUGAUUGGAAAUCAGGACUGUUACUUUGAAAAAAUUAGAGUGUUUAAAGCAGGCUAACGUCUGAAUACAUUAGCAUGGAAUAAUGAAAUAGGACGGAUUGAUUCUAUUUCGUUGGUUUCUAGGAUCACCGUA
rnacentral:rRNA from 1 species